UAAGGAAUAUUGGUCAAUGGACGCAAGUCUGAACCAGCCAUGCCGCGUGAAGGAUGAAGGUCCUCUGGAUUGUAAACUUCUUUUAUCUGGGACGAAAACGGGAUUUUUAUCUCAAUUGACGAUACCAGAGGAAUAAGCACCGGCUAACUCCGUGCCAGCAGCCGCGGUAAUACGGAGGGUGCGAGCGUUAUCCGGAUUUACUGGGUUUAAAGGGUGCGUAGGUGGGCUUAUAAGUCAGUGGUGAAAUCUCCGAGCUUAACUUGGAAACUGCCGUUGAUACUAUAGGUCUUGAAUUAUCUGGAGGUAAGCGGAAUAUGUCAUGUAGCGGUGAAAUGCUUAGAUAUGACAUAGAACACCAAUUGCGAAGGCAGCUUACUACAUAUAAAUUGACGCUGAGGCACGAAAGUGUGGGGAUCAAACA
rnacentral:rRNA from 1 species